AGCUGACCCAGUGUGGAGAGUGUGCAGAUACGGUUUUGGAGCAUGUGCUUCCUCUGGAUUGGUGGAGGGAGCACCAAAACAGGUAUUUCCACCCCCAGGAAGGGGCAGCUGAUUGAUGAACAGCCAGUACAGGGAAAUGAAGCCAGAGGUUUUUUUAGCCAUCAUCUCCCCACAGACAAUGGGGAAGAAGCAGCCAGAUCCAUGGACCAGGGUGGUUGGAGGACCACCAGCUGAACUUGGGUCAUGACACACUGGGGAGCGAAGCAAAACAUCUAGGCAGUGAAGAUAGAAGCCCAGAUACAUUGGGGAGAGAGAGAGAGAGUGAGGAAACAGCCACCACAUGGAUGUCAAAGUUUUUCUUUUUCUUCUUUUUCCCCACCUUUUUGGUUGUUGAUGAAAUGGGGUUUCCCAAUGGAUGUACUGAGGAGGUAGCAAGAGUGAAAGCUUCUCUCCAGGGAGUGGGAAGACAUGUGGACCCUGACCUACACGUUCUAAGGCUGGGUAACAACCCCAGAAAAAAUUAUUUCAGUUAAUCCUUCUCUCAAUCUUAAAAUGGACUGAAUGAGUUGAGUGACCUGUAUGCCAUGGGGAAACUGAUUUCAUUUAAUCAUUCUUGGGACCUUAAAAUGGAUACAAGUAGAUUGAUCUAUACAAUGUGGAGAAGUUCAUGUCAGUUGAUCAUUCUUUGGAUCUUAGAAUGGAUUCAUAUGAGUUGAGUUUCCCCUCGCACUGUGGGGAAAUUGAUUUAAAUUGAUCAGUCUCUAGAUCUUAAGGGGACCAAUACCAUUGGUUUGACCCAUGCAAAGGGGGAAAAUUGAUUUAAGUUGAUCAUUCUCUGAAUUUUACAUGGAUUAAUAUAAGGUGGAGAAGUUGAUAUGAAUAGAUCAUGCUGUAGGUCUUGAAUGGACUGAUAUAAAUGGAUUGCCCAUGUACCCAGGGACAAAUGGAUUUAAAUUGAUUAUUUUCUGGGUCUUAAAAGGUCUGAUACAAAUUGACUAACCCAUACACCGGGGAGACAUUCAGUUAAGCUAACUAUGGUAUAGACUCUUGCACGGACUGAUCUAAGGGCCUUGUUCUAUAAACCUGUAAGGAACUGACUUAUGUCAUGGCCCUAAAGAGCCUAGGGAGAUUGAUUUGAACUUAGGCACUUCUCCAUUUCAGUGAGCCAGUGAGGUACAGCAAGCAGCGAACUGGUCUAUACAAGAUCAAGACGCAGGCAUGAAUCAUCUGCUGGGAUGUGGUAAGGAAGGGAAGGAGGAGCCCCAUGAAGAAAACCCCCAGAGUGAGCGGAGAAUUUUGAAAUUAAGGGAUUCUGUUUCAACUUGGAGUGAAAACAAAUCUUGAAAUCUUGAAAGCUACUGCAAAAAGAGAAAUCCCACACACUAUCUAGCUUUAGUAAUGGUGCUACAUUUUAGGAACUUGAUCAGCCAAAACAUUAACUAGAUCACUGAUUGCCCAAUCAUUAUGACAGAUGAAGAUGCAUGAAGCAGAAAGACUAAUGCAUGACUUUCAGAUCUAAGGCUGUAUUAGAAGUGCAGAUAAUUAGGAAGAAAAAUAAACUUUUCCCCCACUUUUUCUUUUUCGUUAAUUGAGGAACUGUUAUCUUGAGCUUGCUAAGAAAGAAAGAAAUGUGGAAUGCCAUAUUUAAAGUCAUCUUUUAAGAAGCUGGGACUUGAUAUUUGAGGAUUGUACUGUCCCUGAAUGUAGAUCUAGAACAUUAAGAACUUGUCCUUCUCCUGACACCCAGGCAUUAAAUCUGCAGGUCACCAGAGAAAAGCUUCCCAUUCCUGUUUUCUAAUAAGAUGGUUAUGCCCAAAGAACAGUUAGUGCACUGAGAGGUAAA